rnacentral:rRNA from 1 species
UGCCAGCCGCCGCGGUAAUACGGAGGGUGCGAGCGUUAUUCGGAAUUACUGGGCGUAAAGGGCGCGUAGGCGGCGCGUUAAGUGAGAAGUGAAAGCCCCCGGCUUAACCGGGGAGGUGCUUCUCAGACUGGCGUGCUAGAGUGUGGGAGAGGGAGACGGAAUUCCCGGUGUAGCGGUGAAAUGCGUAGAGAUCGGGAGGAACCCCAGUGGCGAAGGCGGCUUUCUGGACCGAUACUGACGCUGAGACGCGAAAGCGUGGGGAGCAAACCGGAUUAGAUA